UGGGCCCUAAAAAGUUCUACCGGCA
rnacentral:tRNA from 1 species